rnacentral:lncRNA from 1 species
CUUUUAUUUCUGAUUCUGUCAAACAGAAUGCAUUCAACUGUUUCUCUACAGUAGUAUUCUCAAGAUGGAUUCAGAGCAUUUAAUACUAAAAUUAUAUUUAUUUAAAAACAGAUAGAAAAAGUUCUGUACAAACUCAUGAAUAAUGCUUAUUUGUAGCAUAACUUCAUGAAUAAUAUAUAUUUGUAGCACAACAUAUAGCUAGCUGCCAUCAAAUGUGCC